AUGAGGCUCCCUGCUCAGCUCCUGGGGCUGCUGAUGCUUUGCAUCCCUGGAUCCCAUGGGGAUAUUGUGAUGUCACAGACUCCACUGUUACUGCCUGUCACCCCUGGAGAGCCAGCCUCCAUCUCCUGCAAGUCCAGUCAGAGCCUCUUAUGUAAUAGUGAUGGAAAUGCCUAUUUGAAUUGGUUUCUGGAAAAACCAAACCAGUCUCUGAAGCUCCUGAUCUAUGUGGUAUCCAAUUGGGUCUCUGGGGUCCUAGACAGGUUGAGUGGAAGUGGGUCUGGAACAGAUUUUACGCUUAAAAUAGGCAGGGUGAAGGCUGAGGAAGCUAGAGUUUAUCAUUGCCAGAGAAACAAGGAUGCAGUCUAUGGUUCUCGUGUGUGUAGUCAAGACUCCUUGAGAUGCAGCUUCUAA